GCUGGGCAUGAUGGCGCACACCUGUAAUCCCAGCCUUAUGGGAGGCUGAGGCAGGAGGAUCACAAGUUUGAGGCUAGUCUUAGCAAUUUGUUGAGACCCUAAGCAAUUUAGUGAGAUCCUGUCCCUU
rnacentral:sRNA from 1 species